rnacentral:rRNA from 1 species
GCAAAUCUGAUCCAGCCUGCCGCGUGCAGGAAGACUGCCCUAUGGGUUGUAAACUGCUUUUAUACGGGAAGAAACCUACCUACGUGUGGGGGCUUGACGGUACUGUAUGAAUAAGGAUCGGCUAACUCCGUGCCAGCAGCCGCGGUAAUACGGAGGAUCCAAGCGUUAUCCGGAAUCAUUGGGUUUAAAGGGUCCGUAGGCGGAACACUAAGUCAGUGGUGAAAGUCUGCCGCUCAACUGUAGAAUUGCCAUUGAUACUGGUUGUCUUGAAUUAGUAUGAAGUGGUUGGAAUGAGUAGUGUAGCGGUGAAAUGCAUAGAUAUUACUCAGAAUACCUAUUGCGAAGGCAGAUCACUAAUACUAUAUUGACGCUGAUGGACGAAAGCGUAUGUAGCGAACAGGAUUAGAUACCCUGGUAGUCCACGCCGUAAACGAUGGUUACUAGCUGUUCGAUCUAAUU